CGAACGGGUGAGUAAUGCGUGACCAACCUGCCCCAUGCUCCAGAAUAGCUCUUGGAAACGGGUGGUAAUGCUGGAUGCUCCAACUUGACGCAUGUCUUGUUGGGAAAGUGUUUAGUGGCAUGGGAUGGGGUCGCGUCCUAUCAGCUUGUAGGCGGGGUAAUGGCCCACCUAGGCUUCGACGGGUAGCCGGCCUGAGAGGGCGGACGGCCACAUUGGGACUGAGAUACGGCCCAGACUCCUAGGGAGGCAGCAGCU
rnacentral:rRNA from 1 species